CUCUCAGACUCGGGGCCAGCCAACUGCGGGCUCACAGUUUAUGCUUGUGUUCACAGGCACCAGGAUAAAGGGCCAGGUCUGGCAGUGAGCUCAGAGUUUCAGUUCUCUCCAGUAUUCCUGCAGGAGGAAAUUCCACAGUCCUGCCUUCUCUUAUGCUGGGUGGCCACGUCAGACUCACCCUAACGCUAUCCCCAGGGCCCCGCCAAUUCCCGCCAGUUUUCACAUCCCAGCCAGCCACCCAGCACCUGGCAGCAGGCCUCCAGAACUGGCGUCUUCACACACCCCGCCUCUGCCCCGCUCUCCAUGGCCAAGGCCUGACUCUCCCGGGCCCUCCCGAGGUGCCUGCUGGACCCUGGGAGGUGGUCCUCACUGGAGAGGUUCAGGGGGCAGGAUGUCUGUCUGGAUCUGCAUCUCCCACUAAACUGUGUGAAAGGAAACGCCAAACAUUCACCUAAGAGACGAAUCCGUCCUGACCAAACAAGGCUCCUGGAGGAUAAGGCCGCUGAAGAGAGCCACCACAGGAGAAGCACGCACCUCUGCUGCAGGGAAGGCCUGCUGCCUGCAUUCCGUCCAGCGCCCCACACGGGGGAGGCCACACGGGCAGGGGCCAGGCCUGCAGCGCUGAGGGCGGGCCUGCGGGACCGACCACACCUCCGUCCGGCUGGCACGUUCCUUCUCCUCUGCCUCUCUCCUCUCCCGGGUCGGAACCCGUGCCCUGAGCCUGCCCGCCCCACCCCGGCCCCCAUGAUGCUGCUCCAGGCACGCUUCAACCGGAAUGGAUGCCGCAUGGUUCUUCCAGAGGAUUCCGGCCUCCGUCACUCUCGGCAGUCUUCACAUGGCAUUCUUGAUUCUUGGAAGCCUUUGCUUACGUUCACAUCCAUUUGAGUGGAGUCUUUAUCACUUGAGCCACCAGAGAAGCCCGAGAGGAAUGCUUAUUCAUCUUAUUCAGCUCAGGUGGCCCCUUGCCUGUACGGCUUUCCCCGCCCUCUCCAGGAGGGAGGCAGCUUCACCCUCACAUCACUGCUCUGCGCUAUGCACCGUGCCAGGGGCCCCAAGUACCUCAACAGCCCCGUGGUUGAGGAAUGCUGCUGCUGCUGCUGAGUCGCGUCAGUCGUGUCCGACUCCGUGUGAUCCCACAGA
ensembl:lncRNA